rnacentral:rRNA from 1 species
AGAGUUUGAUCCUGGCUCAGGAUGAACGCUGGCGGCGUGCCUAAUACAUGCAAGUCGAACGCGAAGCCUGGUUUCGACUGGGUGGAGAGUGGCGGACGGGUGAGUAACACAUGGCUGACCUGCCCUUCAGAGGGGGACAACUGCUGGAAACGGCAGCUAAUACCCCAUACGCUCGUGGUGGUUAGGGGACCACGAGGAAAGGCUGAGGUGCUGAGGGAGGGGGCUGUGGCCCAUCAGCUAGUUGGUAGGGUAAUGGCCUACCAAGGCGAGGACGGGUAGGGGGCCUGAGAGGGUGACCCCCCACACUGGAACUGAGAGACGGUCCAGACUCCUACGGGAGGCAGCAGUAAGGGAUAUUGCGACAAUGGGCGAGAGCCUGACGCAGCAACGCCGCGUGCGGGAGGAAGGCCUUCGGGUUGUAAACCGCUUUUGAGGGGGAAGAGGAAGGACGGUACCCUUCGAAUAAGUCUCGGCUAACUACGUGCCAGCAGCCGCGGUAAAACGUAGGAGGCGAGCGUUAUCCGGAUUUACUGGGUGUAAAGCGCGUGCAGGCGGUGGGACAAGUUAACUGUGAAAGCGCCCGGCUCAACCGGGCGAGGACAGUUAAGACUGUUUUGCUGGAGGCAGGUAGAGGUGUGUGGAAUUCCGGGUGUAGUGGUGAAAUGCGUAGAGAUCCGGAGGAACACCAGUGGCGAAGGCGACACACUGGGCCUGGCCUGACGCUCAGACGCGAAAGCAUGGGGAGCGAACGGGAUUAGAAACCCCGGUAGUCCAUGCUGUAAACGAUGCGGACUAGGUGUUGCGGGUUGAAUCCCCUGCAGUGCCGCAGCCAACGUGAUAAGUCCGCCACCUGGGGACUACGGCCGCAAGGUUAAAACUCAAAGGAAUUGACGGGGGCCCGCACAAGCAGCGGAGCGUGUGGUUUA